rnacentral:rRNA from 1 species
GAUGAACGCUAGCGACAGGCUUAACACAUGCAAGUCGAGGGGCAGCGGGGUGUGGCAACACAUUGCCGGCGACCGGCGCACGGGUGAGUAACCCGUAUGCAACUUGCCUAUCAGAGGAGGAUAACCCGGCGAAAGUCGGACGAAUAGCGCAUAAGACAGGGGUCCCCCAUGGGGUUAUUUGUUCAAGGUUCAUCCCUGAUAGAUAGGCAUGCGUUCCAUUAGGCAGUUGGCGGGGUAACGGCCCACCAAACCGACGAUGGAUAGGGGUUCUGAGAGGAAGGUCCCCCACAUUGGUACUGAGACACGGACCAAACUCCUACGGGAGGCAGCAGUGAGGAAUAUUGGUCAAUGGCCGGGAGGCUGAACCAGCCAAGUCGCGUGAAGGAUGAAGGUUCUAUGGAUUGUAAACUUCUUUUGUGCGGGAAUAAAGUCGGGGACGCGUCCCCGUUUGCAUGUACCGUACGAAUAAGCAUCGGCUAACUCCGUGCCAGCCGCCGCGGUAA